rnacentral:misc_RNA from 1 species
CCCUGGUCCCUGGAGCUGGAGCGGCGGGUGGAGCCUCCAUGGAGAUGGACUGACUGAACACAUGCAUGUCUCCGGGGACGGGACGGCACGGCACGGCGCGCCGCGGCGACGUCGGGCCCUCCCGCGCACGCGCAUGUGCCGGCCGUGGUCGUGAUCGAGCGCAUGAUCCGGAGGCCCACCCAUGGGCCAUGGGGACUGGGGUUACAGCGGAGGGGCCGGCAGGCGGCCGUGGCGGGGCCGUCGCGAGCGCAUCGCCCGGGUGCGCUGCAUGCAGAUGCAGCUGAUGGUGGGCAGCAGCGCGCCACCGGGCCGGAGUGGGGACUGGGCCGUGGCCGAGUGGCCGGCUUUUUAAGCAAACAUUAUAUGCCCAACAAUCUAAACAAGUGGGUCCUCCAUGGCCUCUCAGGCUGCUGCCUUCGCUGUUGUCAUGUUAGCUUUCCUCUCCUGUCCAACGGGUUGAAGAGGAAGAUGGAGCCAUGGGAUGCGGAAGAGAAACCUUUGUCUAUGGUCCUAGGCUAGAUGAAGAUGGACACAGACAGAAGCAUCCGUAACUUGUCUAGGGUUGAAAUGAAAACAGACGGGAAAAAAAUCAUUCCCGACCCGUAUCAGUUUCUAUAUUUGCCCCAUCCGUUUUGUAUUUGCAGAAUAAACUGAAAACGAGAGAGUCUAUUUUGUCCUUUUUUUUUGCGGGA